rnacentral:rRNA from 1 species
GACGUAGGGCGCAAGCGUUGUUCGGAUUUACUGGGCGUAAAGGGCGCGUAGGCGGUCAGCACAAGUCAGUUGUGAAAUCUCCGGGCUUAACCCGGAAAGGUCAACUGAUACUGUGCGACUAGAGUGCGGAAGGGGCAACUGGAAUUCUCGGUGUAGUGGUGAAAUGCGUAGAUAUCGGAGGAAGACACCGUGGCGAAGGCGGUCGUCCUGGCCUGUUCUUGACGCUGAGGCGCGAAAGCUAGGGGAGCAAACGGG